AAGGGCAGUGACGACUCGGAAAUAUUCAAGCUCAACAGACCGUAAUGAGGCGUGUUUCUUUCGAGAUUCGUUUCUGUGUCGAUAAUCCCGCUGAACUGAGCCUUC